AGAGAGGCCUAAUUCUCUCAGUAAAUAUAUGAAAACCUGUGUCUGGACUGUUGAAUUUCAGACUGCAGGUGGGAGCCUCACAUGUUUGAAUAUUUUGCUAUAGAAAAACAUCACUUUCCAUGCACAUAGAACAAUAAAUGUCCAUGUGAAAGCAACCUAAGACAUCAUUUUUCUAUACACAGAGGAAAAAACUGGAUGAACAGGAGGGAACAUUCAGACUUCACAGAGUCAGAAAUAGACCAUCCUGUGAAAUCUGUUCACCUGGAGAAGCAUAUGGGGACUCAAUACUUCCAAGUCACAUCGAAAAGGCAACAGUUUUAUUUAUAAUAGUAAAACAUUUAUAAGUCUUUUACAUAAAGUCUUCCAAGUCAAUUGGGUUAAUAAAACUGACAAAAUACUGUUAUCAUACUUUAACUAAUUUGACUUAUACACAGGAUUGUAAGAUUUGUGCCUUAUAGGAUAGAACAGUAAAUAAUGUAUGUGAAGGAUAGAUGACAGCAUUGAAUCAACUGAUUUAUGAAUAUUCUUGGCUAAUUUCCUGUAGAAGUGGUACGUCUAUUAGACAAUUUCUUUAGACUGAGGCUAUAAACUGUAGCUGAGAGAAGCAAAUCCAAUCUCUUCCUUAAAAUCUUCCAGUGAUUCUGGACAACAUUCUGCAUUGUUGAACUACUUUCACAGUAGGAACUGAUGGUUAUUAUUCUUUCUAAUUCUGAUAGGAAGGGUAUCAUAAAAAAGCAUCACUGCCUUCUAUCAACCUUUUAAAUAUUUGAAUAUCAAGAGUGUGUAAGGCUGAAAGAAUAUAAUGCAAAGAUGCAUGCUAUAUGACUUCAUCUUGUACCAGACAUAAUGAAGCAAACUCUGAAAAGCUCUUGUCACACCAAUUGGUGACACAAAAGCAUAAUAAAAGGUGGUACUUGCUACAUCAAAAGAUACUGUUGCCCGAGCAGGAAACAGACAUAGUAUGUGAUUUGCUUCCUCCACUUUCAACAGGAUGAUAUAUUGGUAUAUGCUGACAUCUUGUGGAAAUUCACUUUUUUAAUGGAGGUAAAAUUGAAAAUGGAAAUGAGAAACAAAAAGAAGGUCUGAGUAUGUUCAAGGGAACCUUGAGAAAUGCAAAAUGGAUAAAACCUUUGGGAGGUAAGCAACUCCAUCUCAAAGCAGCCAAAUGAAGAUGGAAAAUCACAGCAGAUGUGGAAUAUUAAGUGUCAGCCGGAAAAGUGGAAUGCAGGGGGAGGUGGGGGAAAAUGUCCAUAUAGUUCCUUAUAGCACCUUGAACAAGGUUAAUGUUUACUACACAUAAGAAUACACCACAACAUAGUAUUGCGGGACCAGUGUAUCAGAGGUUCAGAAAAGAAAAAUAUAAAGGUAUAUUUAAUAUAUGCUUGUCUUAAAUGCUCACAUCAUCAUCAGGUCUGAAGGGGUUUCCUCUACCACCAAUUCCUCCUGAUAUACUAAAUCCAAGCUCUGGAUCCUUUUCAAUUCUUACUCGAAUCUAAAAUAUGAACAGAACACAGAAAAGUGAAUAUGUAAUAUAGCCCAAGUCUUGAGAAAAUAAGUAGCUUAUAAGUCACUCAUAAAAUUAAUUAUUUUAAAAUUUAUUUGCUUUGGGGGGUAAUUUAUUGAUGCUUUAAAAUCGUCAAGUGCAGUAUACUCUUGGUAGAAUUCCCGAAUAACUUCUAUGACUGCAUGGACUGUAACAGCUGUAGAAAGACCACAAGCCACUUUCAUUUGGGCCUGACAGACAAAAGGCCCACAGUAAAACAUAUAGCAAAGUACACCCUUGUGGUACUUGGAAAACUGUGCCUAUUGAGCUAAUGUGACAAGAUUUAUGUGGAGGUGCCUUUGAAAAUUGUAUGGAAAUGCCAGCAAGUUUAGAAUACCACAGUCAGACCUUUGGCCAGGGCCAGUUAUGUGGAGUGGGUGACUUCCUCAUUACCACAACUUCACUGGCUACUGCUCUGUUUCCAGGCAAAAUUCUAAGAGUCAGUUAUGACCCAUAAAACCCGAUAAGGUUGAAGCAAGGCUAUUUGGAAGAUCAUAUUUUCUGUAUGUGCCUACCAGGUUUUAAGAUCUUUGUGAUGGUGAUAGUGUGCGUGUAGGGGGGAGCUUCUCUCAUUCCAGCCACUGUCAGAGGCAAGUUUAGUGAAAAUGCAAGGAAGCCUUCUCAGUGGGCACAACCAGGCUCUGUAGCUUCCUGUUGAGGCCAGUUAGGUUAGUUUGCACUCUGCUGUCAUUCCAAAAGUAGGUAGAAAGGUUUCAUUUAAGCAACCCCUUUAAGCAAAAGUUGGGUUGCUGUGGAAGGAGGAUUUAAUUUGGUGGGUGAUAUUUUGGUUGUUUAUUUUAAUUAUGUUUUUAAUUGAGGGAGUUUGUUUUUAUUUGUAUUUCACCAUUGUUACCCAACUUCACCACUUGUCUGGCAAAAAGGUGGGAUAUAUAUUGAGUUAAGAUAUCAGCACUAAAAGCUGGCAGUGUAUUUUAACAACAAUCUGAGAGCUUGUUUCAGAGACAUAAUUUUGACCCUUACCUCCUGCUUUGUGAGCUCAUGGCACUGCCUGGAUGGACCUUGGGACUGACUAUAGGGAGGCUGAUGGGCAACUUUAAGCAUCAAAUAAUCAAUCAGUUGUUCUCGGGAAGGAUGUCUUGCUACAGAUGUAAGAGGUGCAGUAUGAUGGACUUGACUAUAAUUUGCUUGAGGUCUUGGAGGUUGGCACAUCUGCCCAUUCGUCAAAGGUACCUGAGUAAGUGAAACAUCUUUAAGCAACCCAAGAAUAUAAUUUGUCUUUUUCAACUUUUUUAUGUUUUUUGCUCAGUUAAUAGUUCAGUAAUAUUUACAAGGUAUGUUGAUUUACAAUAUGUACACUGUAUUCUGUAAAAGAAAACAAACUGGAACAAUACAUAUUUUCCCAUUUCUGCCUACUACAGACUAGAUAGCCUCAUAAAGGGUUAAAUUAAUUCAUUUCAGCUGAGAAUUCUGGUGAAAAUGUUCAUAGAUUUUACAGUUUUUAAUCAGUCACUGCAGAAGGACUGAGAAUUUCCCAAUGUAUUGCAAUGUUAUUUCCACCAGGGAUAAUUCAUAUCCAGAAAAAGUGUAGCAGUGCUCAGAUAAUGAAAGAUUAUAUUCUACAAAACUGAAUAUAGCAAAGAAUAAACCAAAACACUCUGAUCUAUGUAGUUAACCAGGUAGAUGAUGAAAAUGGGUGUCAAUAAAUGCAAAUAAAAGCAAUGGGGGAGAGUAGGAAGUUUUAGAAAGAUUUAAUGUAAGAGGUUGAGUCAUGUUCUAAGAUACUUCUGUAAGUACACGGAUGUCCAUGUAUAUUCCCAGCUUCUUCAUUCAUUGAUCAUUACGUUUUAAAAUUAGUAGACAAUAGCCAUAAACAACCUUCAGCAAGUUCAGUGAAUAUCUACAAUUGUUAUUUUAAUUAAGAAGGACACAAUAACUUUUCCCUUCUUCAUAAGUAUGAACAAAAUGUAAUAGUGCUUAAGGCAUGCUGGAUUGGAGCCAGCAUGAAAGAGCAGACUAAAUUCAUUCCCACUGAUUUCAACCUGUUGCUUUAAUACAUUACUUGAAUUAUUACCUUCUCUAUUUUGUGGAAGUUAGCAAGUUUGGAUAACUGAACAAACACUGUAGUUGGGCCUUCCCAAUAAAGCAAAACAUUAAUUGAAGCUGUGAUUGUAUAAAAACUUCACUUCAGUGGGUCUUAAUUCUGAGAUAUGCAUAGAAUUGCACUGAAUAACAGUGGAUCAUGUUCUGUAUUUUAAAAUGUGCCCUUUAUGCUUAACUAAAUUUACUGAUAUUUAACAUUAAUUUAGUCACUACAAAUGCAUGGAAUUAUCUUGAGUGAAGCAGCUAAUUCAGACUUACAUUUAGCUAUGUAAAAAGUUGUUCUUUUUAUGUGUAGCACUUGCACUUAAACAACCAUCUUGUUUGGAAGCAACACUAAAGUAUAGUUAUCUAGACUAGUUUGGACUCAUGAGUUCCUCUCUUCUCUUCUAGGAGCAACUGCAAAGAUGUUGGAAGAGACAUUUCCAUGUUUAAGCUAACUGCCAAUACUAUUGUAUCUGGACACAGGCAACUGUGAUCACUAUUACCAAUGGUCUAAGGAACCAAACCAACUUUAAACCACAAUUUAAAGUUAAAGCAGUACAGAUAAUCAAUUUCAGCUAUCAUCAAUUACAACUAUUCUGACAAAAUGGGACAGCAGCCCUCCCUUGUCCAUAGCAGUGAGGAAGUAGGGAUGAGAACAAGAGUCAACUGUUCUUUGUUUUUGAUGGCAAGUCAACAGAGGCAGAACCAGUUGAUGAUGACUACAGUUGUCUCCAUCCUCUACCAUAAUCUGGAAUUCUGGUGAAAUCAUUAUGGGUAUAUAUUGCACAGCUGGCAUCAAGGCAAGACUUAAGAGUCGUAAAACAAAGGUCCUUGCUGUAUACUAAAAGAACAAACAAACAACCCUCUUGAGAAAUCUCUCUCCAUGAAUUUCCUCAAGCAAUAUAUAUUUGAUAAGAUUGUCCACAGGGAAUGAAACACUCCCCAACAUGUAUAUCUUAUUGCAUGGAACUGAAUAUGGUGGAAAAAAGAAAGAAAUGAAACAAAACCCUGGACUUGUUAUUGGAUAAAAAGUUAAGUAGAUACAAAGAACAGACUAGGAAGCCACCAAAGAAUGUAAAUAUGCAGGUAUAACACUGAUUUUCAAAACAUCAAUAA